rnacentral:rRNA from 1 species
UACGUAGGGUGCAAGCGUUGUCCGGAAUUAUUGGGCGUAAAGAGCGCGCAGGCGGUUCUUCAAGUCAGAUGUGAAAUAUCCGGGCUUAACCCGGAGGGGUCAUUUGAAACUGGGGAACUAGAGUACAGCAGAGGAUAGCGGAAUUCCCGGUGUAGUGGUGAAAUGCGUAGAUAUGUGGAGGAAUACCGAUGGCGAAGGCAGCCCCCUGGGUCGAUACUGACGCUCAUGCACGAAAGCGUGGGGAGCAAACAGG